rnacentral:rRNA from 1 species
UACGUAGGGGGCAAGCGUUGUCCGGAUUUAUUGGGCGUAAAGAGCGUGUAGGCGGCCAGACAGGUCAGCUGUGAAAACUCGAGGCUCAACCUCGAGACGUCGGUUGAAACCGUCUGGCUAGAGUCCGGAAGAGGAGAGUGGAAUUCCCGGUGUAGCGGUGAAAUGCGCAGAUAUCGGGAAGAACACCCGUGGCGAAGGCGGCUCUCUGGAACGCAACUGACGCUGAGACGCGAAAGCGUGGGGAGCAAACAGG